CACAUUUGGAAUUCAGCCCUCAGAUUAAAAGUGCAGGUAUGAUGUUGAGAUCCAGCUUUGACACAUGGGACAGUUGAAGGCCUCACGCAGAAUUCAUAAAACAUUGCAAACAUCUGAUGCUUGAGGAGGCAAGGCACAAUAUUAAAGGAAAUAACUUACUAUUGCAUCGAAAUAUAAGGUGGAUAGCCAGCAUGGAUAUUUCCUUGACUGCAGACCAUGAAAAUUGAUCAGAAUUCUGUGUAAUUGUGUGGGAGUGACUCAGUAUUACUGAGAAAAUGAGCUCUGUUUGAGAAGUGAUUUCUGCUGAUAACACACAUCACACUUAUCUGAAACUAGCAGUGAAAGCCAGGUUUCGAUGUGACCGAGAGCUCACUAGUGGUCCUUCUGAUGUUGGAGCUCAAUAUCUGCAGUCUGGAACAUCACGCCUCUCUCAGUUCUCAUAAAGCAGACUUCAGUUAUGUAAUCUCUCUCUCUCUCUCUCUCUCUCUCUCUCUCUCUCUCUCUCCUCUCUCUCUCUCUCUCUCUCUCUCUCUCUCUCUCUCUCUCUCUCUCUCGGACUCAG
ensembl:lncRNA